GCACAUGUUCAUGUAUUUAGGUGGAAGAUGCGAGUGGUUGGUGCGGUGAAGAUGAUGAAAGAUGAGGAGGAUAAAGAAGAUGAAGGAUGAUGAAGAUGAACAUAAUGAAGAAGAAGAGCAGGAGGAAGAAGAAGCAUAAACUAGGGAUUAGUUUGACAUUAUUUUCUAGGAGGGAAAAAGAGAAGGUGCCACGUAGGACACUUGCGUGGAAAAAAAUUCUUGUCAUUUGGACAUUUCCGUCUAAGGGACCAACGGAAAAUUGAACUGAGGACUAACUUGACCGACGACAACACAUUAAGGGAUGAAAAAAGACCAUUUUCAACAGCUGAGGACCACUUCGUCAUGAGUGAACACAACCAAGGACCAGAAUGGCGGUUUACUCGUGUUUUCUCAUUUCCUCUGCAAUUUGAAAUCCUGUUCUCUCCCCUCUCCACAGUCAUCAUUUCCCCUCUCCUUCCGUCGCCUAACCCAUAAAAAGCUCCUCAUCAUCUUCUCUGCCACAGAGUCCCUCCACCGCCGCCGAAAACGACGCCAUUUCACACUCCGAGCCCCAGUCCCCCGUUUUCUACCCCUCUCCCUCACUGUCCCUCGGCAAGAAACCCCCUCCUCCAACGGAACCACCACAGUGGAAUUACUAGGCUCAAAUCUAUCUACGCAUGCCUUCCCCAUUAUGUUUCUUUGCAGAAUCCCUUGAUACGGUUCCAUCUCUGAUGUGCUACGAAUUUGGAGGCCAAAGAUGCGGUUGCGAUCAAGAAGAAUGGGAACGCGUUUGAUGCUAAGAGGACUCUCAGAGAAAUCACGCUUCUCUGUCUCAUGGACCAUGAUAAUGCUAUUUAGGAAUUAGGAUUAAGGAUCCUAUUUUCCAAACAUUCAAUAUGGAUAUGGUUUCCACAGAUGAGGAGCUGGAGGAACAACUUUUGAUUGACCAAGGUAUGUCAACUUUACAUACAAGAAUAAGCAAGGAAUUGCAAAUAAAUUAGAGGAUAGAAGGAGUUCUCAAACUUAUUUGCUGGCUUGCAAAGACCAUGGUGGAGGAGGAUAAGCAAGGAACUGCAGGUGAAUUAGAGGAUGGGAGUUCUCAAACUUAUUUGCUGGCUUGCAAAGACCAUGGAUAUUGUGGGAUUCUUUAUCUUUAAACAUGUAAUAUAUGUUUCAAUAACGAGAACUUCCAAUGGUUGAUUUAGUUGGGAAGCUGCUCAUUCUCUUUUUUAUAUUGUGAACUGGACAUGUAUGAUCUUAUCUCAAUCUUUUUUGCAAUGUGGGAAUUAGAAGGUAUCUUGGAUGAUA